GAUGAAGAAUGUAGCGAAAUGCGAUAAGUAAUGUGAAUUGCAGAAUUCAGUGAAUCAUCGAAUCUUUGAACGCACAUUGCGCCCGCCAGUAUUCUGGCGGGCAUGCCUGUUCGAGCGUCAUUUCAACCAUCAAGCCCCCGGGCUUGUGUUGGGGACCUGCGGCUGCCGCAGGCCCUGAAAAGCAGUGGCGGGCUCGCUGUCACACCGAGCGUAGUAGAUUUUAUCUCGCUCUGGGCGUGCUGCGGGUUCCGGCCGUUAAACCACCCUUUUAACCCAAGGUUGACCUCGGAUCAGGUAGGAAGACCCGCUGAACUUAAGCAUAUCAAUAAGCGGAGGA
rnacentral:misc_RNA from 1 species